UAAGAGGUCCCGCCUGCCCUGUGACUAUAAGUUUAACGGCCGCGGUAUUUUGACCGUGCAAAGGUAGCGCAAUCACUUGUCUUUUAAAUGAAGACCUGUAUGAAUGGCACAACGAGGGCUUGACUGUCUCCUUUCCCCAGUCAAUGAAAUUGAUCUCCCCGUGCAGAAGCGGGGAUAUUCCCAUAAGACGAGAAGACCCUGUGGAGCUUUAGACAACAGGGCAGACCAUGUCAAGUCCCUCCAACCAAGGAGUAGAACUAAUUGGACCCUGCUCUUAUGUCUUUGGUUGGGGCGACCGCGGGGUAAAACAAAACCCCCACGUGGAAUGGGAGCAUCCCUCCUACAACCAAGAGCAACAGCUCUAGGCAACAGAAUAUCUGACCAAUAUGAUCCGGCUUGAUUGCCGAUUAGCGAAACGAGUUACCCUAGGGAUAACAGCGCAAUCCUCUUUUAGAGCCCAUAUCGACAAGGGGGUUUACGACCUCGAUGUUGGAUCAGGACAUCCUAUUGGUGCAGCCGCUAUUAAGGGUUCGUUUGUUCAACGAUUAA
rnacentral:rRNA from 1 species